AUGGAGUCUCGCUCUGUCACCCAGGCUGAAGUGCAGUGGCACGAUCUCAGCAGACUGCAACCUCCGCCUCCCGGGUUCAAGAGAUUCUCCUGCCUCAGCCUCCCAAGUAGCUGGAAUUACAGCAUCUUACUGCCACAGAGGAAGAUGUGGGGCAGGCGGGUGUUUGAAGAAUGUGAAAUGCAGAUUUUCAUCCAGUUCUUGCAGAAAGCAACAAAGUCAAAGCCCUCCCAGGACCCAGACAAUGGGGAUUUUCAGGACAUACACUGGCUUUCACCUGAUUUGGAUCCAUGUAUAUACUGCCUUUUUAUUGAGACAGGAUCUCGCUCUGUGGCCCAGGCUGGAGUGCAGUGGAGUGAUCACAGCUCACUGCAGCCUUGAUCUCCCAGGCUCGACCUCCUGAGUAGCUGAAACCACAGGCAUGUGCUGCCACACCUGGCUUAUUUUUAUACUUUUUCUAGAGAUGGGGUUCCCAGGCUGGUCUCAAACUCCUGGACUCAAGUGAUCCUCCUGCCUCGGCCUCCCAAAGUGCUAGGACUAUAGGCAUGAGCUACCAUGCCUGGCCUAUAUACUGCCUUUUAAUAUGAGGCCUUUAUCCUGCUCUAAAAUUCUUUCCUGAUUUUUGAUUCUUGUAAAAUCUAGUUUAGCAAUGGGGUAGAGUAUUUCCUGAAUCCUCAGUGUUUUUCAAUAAAUUGGAAUUUCCUCUUCCUGUUUAA